GAUGAACGCUGGCGGUAUGCCUUACACAUGCAAGUCGAACGGGAAUUAGCCUCGGUUAAUUCUAGUGGCGGACGGGUGAGUAACACGUGAGAAUUCGCCUUUAGGAGGGGGAUAACGAGUGGAAACAUUCGCUAAAACCCCAUAUGCCCCAGGGUGAAAAAGAGGUUAAUAGUAAAACUGAAUAACCUCUGCCUGAAGAGAAGCUCGCGGCUGAUUAGCUAGUUGGUAGGGUAAUGGCCUACCAAGGCGACGAUCAGUAGCUGGUCUGAGAGGCCGAUCAGCCACACUGGAACUGAGACACGGUCCAGACUCCUACGGGAGGCAGCAGUGAGGAAUUUUCUGCAAUGGGCGAAAGCCUGACAGAGCAAUACCGCGUGAGGGAUGAAGACUUACUGAGUUGUAAACCUCGGUGCCUUAAGGAAGAAGAUCUGACGGUACUUAAGGUGGAAAGCAUCGGCUAACUCCGUGCCAGCCGCCGCGGUAAAAC
rnacentral:rRNA from 1 species